GGAAUAUAAUGGUAGAGGGGGUAAGAAUUUUUGUAGACGGAAGUUGCCACAUCCAGAGGCCACUCGCGUGGAUAGGUUCCAGAGACAUGGAGUGGUGGGAGAUGGAGGAACGACAAGUGCGCAUCCAAUAAUUUGGGAGACGAAGCCGCCAUUUUUACACUGUUUCUGUCAGUUUCUCAGCAGUUUCUCCGUGUGAUUUGAAAUUUGACGUUCAAGAGCAACUUAACCUCAAAAUAAUUCCCGGAAAAUUUCGUUUAUUUCGGCUUUAUUCUUUCGUAGUUCACAGUGUCGAGUGCUGGUGCUCUCUAAAGUGUUUAGAAAUGACUUGUACAGUGGAAAGCUGCAAAAAUAUUCGGCGUUUCAAGCCAGAAGGUGUAACGUUCCACAGGUUACCUCGAGACUCCGGCAAGCUCGAACAAUGGCUCCAUAUUUUGGGCAAAGAUAAUUUAUUAGACUUGGAAUCCACCAAGUAUAAACUAAUUUGCUCCAAACAUUUCGAAAGAAACUGUUUUAUUAUAAAAAAUGGUAAAAAAUACUUGGUUCCCUCCGCUGUUCCAUCAUUACGUUUAUCAUCAACACCUUCACGAAGAGAGAAAGAAGGCCUUUCGUCUUCGAAUACCUUGCAAUCUUCAAUUGAUUCUUCGAGGGCAUCGACUUCUGGAGUUGGGCAAAUUUCCGAAAUAAAUAGAUUCUCAUCGUCAACCGGUAGCAGUUCUAACGCUAGUAGGAAAAGAAGACGUAAAAUUUUAAUUGUUCAAAGAGAUCAUUCAUAUAACAUUACGCCUGGAAUACUGAAUGAAAAAUUCCGAAACUUGAGAGAACAACAACUAAAAUCCCGCAGAAAGCUUUAUAAAGCUAAGAAACAAAUAAAAAAUUUGAACAAGAAAGUCACUUCGCUUCAGGCAAUAAUUAAGAGCUUAAAAGAGAAUAACAUGAUUUCGGAUAGCGCAUUGGUCCAUUUACAAAAAUCUUAAAGUAUCUUAAGGGCUCGUAAUGGUUGGAACAAUAAUCCAACUGCUUUGCAAUUUAUGUAUUCAUUCCGUCGUAUUCUUCUUUUCACGAAAGUAUCUCCAAGAGGCGGUAAUUGCAAAGUAUUGGAUACGACAACUAUUCUACAUGUCCCGUCAAAAAGCAAAUCACGGAAAACAUUGGAGAUGUAUGACGUGUCACUGGCUAUGAAAUAUGGUUUGACAGAUGAAGUGGUCAUUCAGGAUCAUGAGUAUUACUUCGACAUUCCUUUUGCAGACCUUAAUGACAUUACCACCAAUAUUAUAACUUAUAUUGGUGGAUAUGUUGUAAAAAUGCCCCGAAUGUUUGGAAGAAUGCCUGGUGAAAGCAAACCAACUUUCAGGAGUCAAUUAUAUGCUCUUACUACGUAAAAAAAGAGGAGCUCUCCACACUCCAAGCUCGAGUGUUGUAAAAAUAUGCUGCACAACAGAAAUUUAUAUAAAGAGAAUGAUGAUUAUGACGGAUGGGGCAUUACCCCCGGAAACUGGUUUUUUCGACACUUUCAUGGUUGCUGUCGCUCAAAAAACAUAUGAGUAUAACUUGUUUGAAGAAUUGGACCACCAUUUUUCAUGCUUCGCCUUCAGUGAAGAAAAUCACAAAUUCCUGCUUAUUAAAUUAAUAAUAAAAAAUUAUUUAAAAAUACGAAUUUUCAGUUUAGGUCGCAGAUAUACACAAAAAAUGUCUGGGCCUCUAGUGCGGCAACAGCUCACUAAAUUAAUUUUAUUCAAUCACCAAUAAAUAAUAUGUUAUUAUGA